UGGCGGACGGGUGAGUAACGCGUGGAAAACCUGCCGUAUACUGGGGGAUAACACUUAGAAAUAGGUGCUAAUACCGCAUAAGCGCACAGCUUCGCAUGAAGUGGUGUGAAAAACUCUGGUGGUAUACGAUGGUUCCGCGUCUGAUUAGCUUGUUGGCGGGGUAACGGCCCACCAAGGCGACGAUCAGUAGCCGGCCUGAGAGGGUGGACGGCCACAUUGGGACUGAGACACGGCCCAAACUCCUACGGAAGGCAGCAG
rnacentral:rRNA from 1 species